UGUGAAAAUUGCCCCAGAGUAUCUGCAACAUCAAAUUGUCUAAUUGUGUUUAAUGUGUUGCCUAAAUAUCGUAUUUUGAUUUUCCGCAUUUCAUUCCUUAUCGUAAAGGUACCAUAUGUUGAAGAUUAUUCCCGAAUGUUCACUCUUGGCAUUUUUCAAUUCGAUUUUGAAACUCUGAAUAGCUUGUGCGUAUAUGGAGGUUAUUUGCUGUUUCUUGUGAAAAUCCAAAUUUUGGGAUAAAGAUAACCGUCUAUAAUUCAACUAUUGCUGAUUUGAUUGUUGGAAUAGCAAUAUUACCCUUUUUGGGGAUUAAAAACGUACUUCGGCUACGAAGAGCAUUCACUUUGAAAGGCCACCCAACAACUUGAGGCCUUUUUAUUUCAUGAGUAUUCCUUUCAUUCCUGUUUCGGACUGAACACAUUUCUACGGAUUCUGGCUCUUCGAUUCUGAAACGAACUUCAUAAACAAAAUUCUCGUACCUAUUUCCCCAUCUGAAGAAAGGAAAAGCAUCUUGGAAGGAUUUUCAACAUUGUGAAUUGGUUGGGAUUCUCGAAUUGGUAAUUUCGUCGAAUAUACAGGACGCCUGGUAUGUAGAAAGAAUUUCUUUUGAUGUUGACGUCACAGGAAGCCAUUUGCAAGAAAAGGGAAUACGUAUUGUUUUGGUCAAUUAUACCUUUUGAAGUGGAAAGUUAAAGGACUUGUUCUCACAUUCAUUCAGAAAACAUCAGAUAUUGUUAUCAUUCCGUUCAUAAACUGUCCCAUAGAGAAAAUUUCAAAACUCAAUACCUCAGAUUGUAUAUUU